rnacentral:rRNA from 1 species
GAUGAACGCUAGCUACAGGCUUAACACAUGCAAGUCGAGGGGCAGCGGGAUUGAAGCUUGCUUUCUUCGCCGGCGACCGGCGCACGGGUGCGUAACGCGUAUCGAACCUACCCUUUACUCGGGGAACAGCCUUGCGAAAGCAAGAUUAAUGCCCGAUGUUCCGCGUUUGCUGCAUGGCAAAUUCGGCAAAGAUUUAUUGGUAAAGGAUGGCGAUGCGUCCCAUUAGUUAGUUGGCGGGGUAACGGCCCACCAAGACGACGAUGGGUAGGGGUUCUGAGAGGAAGGUCCCCCACAUUGGAACUGAGACACGGUCCAAACUCCUACGGGAGGCAGCAGUGAGGAAUAUUGGUCAAUGGGCGCAAGCCUGAACCAGCCAAGUAGCGUGCAGGAUGACGGCCCUAUGGGUUGUAAACUGCUCUCAGUCGGGAAUAACUCGUCGGUCGUGACCGACGUUGCAGGUACCGUCAUAAGAAGGACCGGCUAAUUCCGUG